ensembl:ncRNA C34F11.16 ncRNA
GGCGAGAGAUUCUGGCGGGAAAGUGGUGGAAUGGUUGUCCGACUGUGUGAAGAGUAACAAGAGAAAUAGAGAUAUAAAGAAACGAGGGUUGGUGGUAGUGGUGACACUUGGCCACCGAAUU